rnacentral:rRNA from 1 species
GGACUACCCGGGUUUCUAAUCCUGUUUGAUCCCCGUGCUUUCGCGCCUCAGCGUCAGUUGUCGUCCAGAUAGCCGCCUUCGCCACCGGUGUUCCUCCUAAUAUCUACGAAUUUCACCUCUACAUUAGGAAUUCCGCUAUCCCCUCCGACACUCUAGCUAUACAGUUUCAAAGGCAAUUCUUGGGUUGAGCCCAAGGAUUUCACCCCUGACUUGAAUAGCCGCCUACGCGCGCUUUACGCCCAGUAAUUCCGAACAACGCUAGCACCCUUCGUAUUACCGCGGCUGCUGGCAC